UACGUAGGGCGCAAGCGUUGUCCGGAAUUAUUGGGCGUAAAGAGCUCGUAGGUGGUUUGUUACGUCUGCUGUGAAAACCUAGGGCUUAACCCUGGGCUUGCAGUGGAUACGGGCAGACUAGAGGUAGGUAGGGGAGAAUGGAAUUCCUGGUGUAGCGGUGAAAUGCGCAGAUAUCAGGAAGAACACCCGUGGCGAAGGCGGCUCUCUGGGACGGUACUGACGCUGAGACGCGAAAGCGUGGGGAGCGAACAGG
rnacentral:rRNA from 1 species